GCACUUCGGGAUAAGCCUGGGAAACUGGGUCUAAUACCGGAUAGGACCACGGGAUGCAUGUCUUGUGGUGGAAAGCGCUUUAGCGGUGUGGGAUGAGCCCGCGGCCUAUCAGCUUGUUGGUGGGGUGACGGCCUACCAAGGCGACGACGGGUAGCCGGCCUGAGAGGGUGUCCGGCCACACUGGGACUGAGAUACGGCCCAGACUCCUACGGGAGGCAGCAGUGGGGAAUAUUGCACAAUGGGCGCAAGCCUGAUGCAGCGACGCCGCGUGGGGGAUGACGGCCUUCGGGUUGUAAACCUCUUUCACCAUCGACGAAGGUCCGGGUUCUCUCGGAUUGACGGUAGGUGGAGAAGAAGCACCGGCCAACUACGUGCCAGCAGCCGCGGUAAUACGUAGGGUGCGAGCGUUGUCCGGAAUUACUGGGCGUAAAGAGCUCGUAGGUGGUUUGUCGCGUUGUUCGUGAAAUCUCACGGCUUAACUGUGAGCGUGCGGGCGAUACGGGCAGACUAGAGUACUGCAGGGGAGACUGGAAUUCCUGGUGUAGCGGUGGAAUGCGCAGAUAUCAGGAGGAACACCGGUGGCGAAGGCGGGUCUCUGGGCAGUAACUGACGCUGAGGAGCGAAAGCGUGGGGAGCGAACAGGAUUAGAUACCCUGGUAGUCCACGCCGUAAACGGUGGGUACUAGGUGUGGGUUUCCUUCCUUGGGAUCCGUGCCGUAGCUAACGCAUUAAGUACCCCGCCUGGGGAGUACGGCCGCAAGGCUAAGACUCAAAGGAAUUGACGGGGGCCCGCACAAGCGGCGGAGCAUGUGGAUUAAUUCGAUGCAACGCGCAGAACCUUACCUGUGUCUGACAUGCACAGGACGCGUCUAGAGAUAGGCGUUUCCUUGUGGCCUGUGUGCAGGUGGUGCAUGGCUGUCGUCCUCUCCUCUCCUGAGAUGUUGGGAUAAGUCGCGCAACCCCCCGCAACCGUGGACACAUGUUGUCACCACGUGAGCGC
rnacentral:rRNA from 1 species